rnacentral:rRNA from 1 species
CCUACGGGUGGCAGCAGUGGGGAAUAUUGCGCAAUGGGCGAAAGCCUGACGCAGCGACGCCGCGUGAGGGAUGAAGGUCUUCGGAUCGUAAAACUCUGUCAGCAGGGAAGAACGGUCACUCUGCGAAUCAGCAGUGAAUUGACGGUACCUGCAAAGGAAGCACCGGCUAACAACGGGCCAGCAGCCGCGGUAAUACGUAGGGGGCGAGCGUGAUCCGGUUUCACUGGGUGUAAAGGGAGCGUAGACGGCCAUGCCAGCCAGGGGUGAAAGCCCGGGGCCCAACCCCGGGACUGCCCUUGGAACUGGAUGGCUGGAGUGCGGGAGGGGCAGGCGGAAUGCGUGGUGUAGCGGUGAAAUGCGUAGAUAUCGGGAGGAACACCGGCGGCGAAGGCAGCCUGCUGGACCGCGACUGACGUUGAGGCUCGAAAGCGUGGGGAGCGAACAGGAUUAGAUACCCUGGUAGUC